GCGAUCCACUCAAAGAGGCCGUUGCAAAUGAUCUUGUGUGCCUCUGCAACCUCUUCAAUGAUCCUUCAUUCUUUUCCACCUUCAAUGUCACUGUCGAUGAGGCUCUCCGUCUAGCCAAAAACUGCGGUGUCACCUCCGAUCUCUCCUCCUGCAACGGUAAUUUUCUAAAUUCGCAUUUGCUAUUUGUAAAUCAAACUAACAAAAUUAUCCUUGUGAGCUUCGGGGUUCAAAUCAAGUAGAUAAAAUUCCAGAAAAAAGGACUCCCUUAUGUCCUUGUAACUGUUUGUAGAUUACCUACAAGAUCUUCCUAAAAGGAGAGACAGUAUUAUAAUUGAUUGAUUGCUUUCUUGGAUUGAUGUUUCAGCUUUCUCAUUAUGCAUAUCUUCAAAAACGCAAAAAGGACAAAAAGAGGAAAAUCUGUUGUUAAAUUAAGUUUGAUUAAUUGACUAAUUAUU
rnacentral:lncRNA from 1 species